AACAUCCCUUCCACGUGGGCGACGGGUCCAGGGGUAAAAGCUUUUCUAGGAAGGUAUAAAAUAGAUGAACAAGCUGUGCAAUUUCCUGCGGAACGGAGGCUUAUGGAGAGGAGGUUUUGGAUGGCAGUGGCUGACCGGUAGCUGCGAGGUAGCAGGUUGGGAGAACGCGCCACGGACACUUAGGAUGUGUUUGGUUCUUGUCAUGGAUCGGAAUAUCACGGGUCGGACCCGUUCCUGAACUUGAUUCUCGCGUUUGGUAUGUGCAUGGAACGGUGACCCACUCGUUCCCGCGAACCGAAUCCGGAACGAGGUGAGACCUCGAAUUCGAGCGGACGACGCGGAACCGUCUCCCCCUCGUCUCUCUCCCGCAACCCCAUCCCCUCUCGCCCUCCUCUCUGUUGCAGGGCGGCGGACGAGCGGCUGCGGGGCGACGGUCUUGAAGCUGGGCGGCGAGCCAGGCUACUUCGGCGCGAGUAUUAGAAGCCAGCCAGCGGCAGCCACACCUGGUCGGCGGCAGCAUCAGCUUGCCUGGGCAGGGCCGAGAGAGGAAAGGAGCAGACGGCGUUCAGGAUUGAUGGAUGCGUUCAGUUCUGCUAGAUGCGUUCAUGCCAAACUCAACCUGUCCCUGAUGCUUGCAGUGAGAAAUUUUUAUUUUGUUCAUGCCUGUAGAUUUCUGCUGGAUGCGUUCAUGCCAAAACAGACUCUUCAUGUGAAUAGAAAACAGUGAGAUUUUUUUUCA